rnacentral:tRNA from 1 species
UCCGAUAUGGUCUAACGGCUAGGAUAUUCCGCUUUCAUAGAGUCCGUUCUGAAGGCGCCGGAAAGGCCCGGGUUCGACUCCCGGUAUCGGAA